CAGAAAACAGACAAAAACUGGACUUCACAAACAGCGCUCAGUCACAAAGGUUUCCACAGUCACAAUAAGAUUUAGGGUAAGGACAGGAUUCUUAUGAACUCACAAGCAGACACAGGGGAGCACAGAUAUUGUGAAGAAGAUGAUAUGAAUAAGAAGA